UACGUAGGGGGCAAGCGUUGUCCGGAUUCAUUGGGCGUAAAGGGUGCGUAGGCGGUCGUGCAAGUCGGAUGUGAAAUCUCAGGGCUCAACCCUGAAACUGCAUUCGAUACUGCGCGGCUAGAGUGCUGGAGGGGAGACUGGAAUUUACGGUGUAGCAGUGAAAUGCGUAGAUAUCGUAAGGAAGACCAGUGGCGAAGGCGAGUCUCUGGACAGCAACUGACGCUGAGGCACGAAGGCCAGGGGAGCAAACGGG
rnacentral:rRNA from 1 species